GAUGAACGCUGGCAGCAUGCUUAACACAUGCAAGUCAACUUAAACUUCGGUUUGGGUGGCGGUCUGGUGAGUACCGCGUAAAGAACAUGAACCACAGAUAGGCACAACAUUAGGAAACGAAUGCUAAUACCAAAUCUUAUGUUAUUCGGGCAUCUAUGGUUUAUGAAAGCUAUCUGCGCUGUGAGAGAGCUUUGCGUCCCAUUAGCGAGAUGGCCAGGUAACGGCUCAUCAAUGCGAUGAUGGGUAGCCGGCCUGGGAGUGUGAUCCGCCACACGGGGACUGAGACGCGGCCCGUACGCCUUCGGGAGGCAGCAGUGGGGAAUAUUGGGCAAUAGACCAAGUGUCUGAUGCAGCAAUUCGGUGUGUACGAUGAAGUUUUUCGGAAUGAAAAGUUCUGUCAGUUGGUAUGAACAUAAUGACGGUACCAACAGAAGAAGUGACGGCUAAAUACGUG
rnacentral:rRNA from 1 species